AGGCCCCAAGCUGUCCCAGUGAUCCUGGCCUUCCCAGCUGAGAUCCCAGACCCAUGCAGAUCAAUGGGCCCUGGCAUCUGGUCCAUCUCUUAUUGGAAUUGCUUUUGAAAGCCCAGGGUGGGGAAAGCCAACAGACUCUGCAACACAAUGUGCUAUUGGCCUUGCCCAAAUGUGCUUCAGCUGCGCGCCUCUCCAUGGUGCACAGUUCCUGGCUCUGAAGCUGAACUUCUAGAAUACAAAUCCCAUCUCCAACCACACCAGCUGUGUGACACAGACAAUACUACAUCUCUCUAAGUCUCAUUUUCUGCAUCUAUAACGUGAGGCUUCCAAUGGCGUGUAGCCAGGACCUCAGCUCUAACUACUGAUGCCUUCUUGUUUUGACCAACUGGCUUUGCUGUCAGGCUGUUUGAUUUUUACCUGGUGCUUUUAAAAAACAUUUUGGGAAAAAAUCCUGGAUCCUCUAGGUGAAAUGUCAUUAUAUUCUGUCCCUAUAGGCAAGAUAUUUGUCGAGUGAGCAUAGAAUCACACCAGGAAAGCACGUUAAAGCACUUCCUAGCUGAGGCAGGCUGACAUAUUGUAUUCUUACUCACUACAGGAAUGACAUGGACAUGGAAACCCUAAUGCUCAGGUCAGUUUGACUGAGAUAGGGUUUGAAGGCACAAUGCUGGUCUUGCCUCUGUGACUGCCUUGUUUUAGGCUAUCAUGGUUAAUUAAGCCCUUUAGGUCAUAGAAUCUCUCUCCAGACAGGAUACAGAAUAAUUGGUUGACAAAACUGAUUAAGCUUGUUUCUAUUAAAUUACAACAACAUAUACCUUCUUGAGAUUUUUCCCAUAUGACAUGGAUCACAAUUUGGUUCAUUUUUUGAACAUGUUUAUAGACAACCUCUUGGCUUACCCCCACAAAAAGCUAAGUCAAGGCCUGUAUUAGCGAGUUCAUGCAAGCUGGGUUAUGCUGCAGUCACAAACAACUAAAACCACAUCAGUGGCUUACAAUGACAAAGGUAUUUUUAGAAAGAGAGAAAGAAACAGAAAGUAGAGUUGUGGUUUCCAGGAACAGUGGGGCAGGGGAGAAAUGGAGAGUGGUUCAAGGGGUGUACAGUUUUGUUUUGCAAAAUAAAAAAGUUCUAGAGAUCUGUUGCACA